CUCUUGGAAUACAUGUGAGACAACAUGGAUUUUGCUACGGUGAAAAAGUGAAUUUUAGAGUCAGAUGUCUGCUAUGUGCAUUUAGUCAACCUGCAAAUCAUAAACAAUACUUUUGUCAUCUUAACACUCAUUUAAAAAACAAGGAAACUGUCACCUGCCCAUUUAAUGGUUGUAAUUUUAAGUCAAAAGUUUAUUCCAGUUUUACCUCUCACAGAAGUCGAUAUCAUGCCUUGGAUUUUUUACAAAAUUUUAAAGCAGAGCUUCUUUAUGGCCCACCACAUGGUGAAAACUCUGAUCCCCUAUUAGACACUGGUGGGUAUUCUUCUAAUAACACUGAGUCAGCUGUUCGUGAUAGUUUUGAUUUUCAGUCUGAUGAUGAUGAGGAUGCUGCUGAUGAUGAAGAAGAGCGAGGUAGCAUUGGUGACAAAAUUAGGAAUAGACUUGCAUCUUUGCUUCUACGAAUGCAAGCCAUCUUGCAUGUAUCUAAAUCAGCUACCCAGGAAAUAAUCAAUGAACUUCACGAAAUUGGAAUUUUAGCAGGUGACCUGUCGAAAAAAACUGCAGAAAACAUUUUUACAGAGCUCAGUUGUAAUAUAGAUGAGGCCACACUAAAGUUGUUAAAGGAAAGCUUACAGGAAACCAAUCCUUUUAGUUGUCUGUCACAGAGUGGACCACUGGGAACUGAAUACAAAAGACAGUUGUUUUACAAGGAAAGAUUCAACAUAAUUGAGCCAACUGAGUAUGUGUUAGAUCCUUUACUUAACAAAACAUUUGUUUAUGUUCCAAUUUCAGGUGUGUUGCCAGCAUUGUUGAACAAGUGUGAUGUAAUUGACAAAGUUUUAGAGGAAACAAAUCUACCAUCGCUCUCUGCUUGGUACCUGGAACACCUCAGAUGCUAUGAAGUCUGCAAGAACCACUCUGCAAAGCUGCUUGUAGUCCAGCCAGAGGAGCUCAAUGACUACUUCCCCCUGUCAGCGUAUAUGGUGAAAGGCAGACUUCUGAUCUCUCCAAAAGGGUUUCUGCUCCAUUGAGAUUCCAGUGUACAAAAUGUUGCUAAGAAUCAUUAUAAACAAGGAUGAUAUUAGGAAGAU